AAAGAAAAAAGUCAUUUCAGAUGUCAAACAAAGAGAUUACAUUCUGAUGAAAGAUGCUUACCACAAACAUCUUUAUUCCUGUACAAGAAGACUUGCAACAUCUAUCGGAAGGCAACAGAUAACUUGUCAAAUGUGUGACAAGAGCUUCCAACAGCUUAUGGAAAGCUUGACAUGAGUGACAAGAUGGUUUAUUCAUUAUAGAAAAAUGUUGACAAGGGGCAUUCAUAGCAGUUGCACCCUUUGACCUUCUGGUUGCACCACCUGAC